AGAUGGCGGGGAAUGAAAAAAUCUGAAGCUGGAGAAAGAGAAGGAAACGUUUUGAAUUCCUGAAUGAUUUAGAAAGGUGACACAGGAUAAUUAUGUCAGCUUUAUUGAGGCCGGAUUAGCCGAAGUCUAGAUGCUGCGCUUAUACAAUGUGAGCACUGUUCGCGACUGUGAAC
rnacentral:sRNA from 1 species